GGGUUAGUAGGUUGGUCAUGCCUCUGGUAUGUACUAGCUUAUUGAUUUCUCCCUUCUGACGAACCAUGAUGUCAUUAAUUUGGUGUCAUGGGGAAUUAGGACUGUUACUUUGAAAAAAUUAGAGUGUUUAAAGCAGGCUCACGCUUGAAUACAUUAAUGGAAUAAUGAAAUAGGAUGUUUGAUUCUAUUUUGUUGGUUUCUAGGAUCGACAUA
rnacentral:rRNA from 1 species